UACAGAGGUCUCAAGCGUUGUUCGGAUUCAUUGGGCGUAAAGGGUGCGUAGGCGGCGCGGUAAGUCGGGUGUGAAAUCUUGGAGCUUAACUCCGAAACUGCAUUCGAUACUGCCGUGCUUGAGGACUGGAGAGGAGACUGGAAUUUACGGUGUAGCGGUGAAAUGCGUAGAUAUUGGGAAGAACACCGGAGGCGAAGGCGGGUUGCUGGGCCGACACUGACGCUGAGGCGCGAAAGCCAGGGGAGCAAACGGG
rnacentral:rRNA from 1 species